rnacentral:rRNA from 1 species
UUAUCGGAGAGUUUGAUCCUGGCUCAGGACGAACGCUGGCGGCGUGCCUAAUACAUGCAAGUCGAGCGGACAGAUGGGAGCUUGCUCCCUGAUGUUAGCGGCGGACGGGUGAGUAACACGUGGGUAACCUGCCUGUAAGACUGGGAUAACUCCGGGAAACCGGGGCUAAUACCGGAUGGUUGUCUGAACCGCAUGGUUCAGACAUAAAAGGUGGCUUCGGCUACCACUUACAGAUGGACCCGCGGCGCAUUAGCUAGUUGGUGAGGUAACGGCUCACCAAGGCGACGAUGCGUAGCCGACCUGAGAGGGUGAUC